CACUUUUAUUAAUGAUUCUACCUUUAUCAGCAUUCCAGCUUCUUCCAAGUUCAUCUCAGAUUUUACCUUGGCUUUAAGUUUCUUUCUAAUAAUCCUAACCGGACUGAUCAGUCUUUAAUGUCAUAAUGUCCAUAAUUUCCUCACAUAGUCAGAAUUUGUGCUACGCUUUAUAAGCCAUUUCUCUCCAUCUUAAUCUACCCAGCUAAAACUUAACAUCCCUUUAUGUUUUUGGUCUUCUUGAUAGAGUCUGUUAUUAUAGUUUUUUAUUGUACCCAAAGCUCCCUCUUGUGGUAUUUGGUAUAAUGUAGUGUGAAAUGAUUAACAGUGAAAAUUAUCUUUAAUGAAAAUGAAGUAUGAAAUAAUUUCCUAAUAGAAUGCUAAACUUGUUUAUGCCUGAUACACAUAGUAGAAGACAUUUUGUGCUGUACUUCCAUGAAUGUAUUUGGAUUUUCAUUAAACCAAAAACUUUUGGGGCUGGGGUGCAGAGAGGUAAAUCAUAUUACAUGUUUUUAGGAAGGAUAAGGGUGGUUAAGGAGAGAAAGGUGUAGGUAGAGUAGGAGAAUACGGGGAACAGGAUAGAAUAUGGUACCUACAGAAUAAUUGUUUAAGCAUGUAAGCAGAUACUAAAAUCAGCUAUUGAAAUACUUAAAUUGUCUCUUUACAAGGCAAAAUUAUGGCCUAAUUUUGUUUACCAUUUUUACUUUAAUUUAUUAUUUCUAAUAAAAAUUUAAAAUAUGGACUACUUCAAGAAUUUGCAUGUUAUGCUUGUGCAGAGGCCAUGCCAAUCUUCUCUGUAUCGUUCUAAUUUUAGUGUAUGUGCUGCCAAAGUGAGCACUGUUUACUGUUUUUAAACUCAGGUUCAGACAGUUGAGCUAAUUAUAUUCCUUGGUUCAUAGUUUAUUGUCAUGAGUAGUCAACACAAAGGCCUCAUCUUGUUUUCAUUUUAUAUUUUCCUCGCUUCUCUCUUUCCUCUCCCUAAUAGAUAGCUACUAUAUGUUUACCAUAUGCUUUUGCAGAGUAUUAGUGUAGUGUGCAUAUAUGUUCUUAGUUGGUAUAAACAGUGUCUUGCUAUACAUGUCAUUUUGUUUACUUUUGUUACUCAGCAUGGUUUUUAUGUCUCUCCCUUAUAAAUGUCAGUUAGUUCAUUGCUUCUUUCUGCUACUUUAGUAUCUGUCAAUCAGUUUACCUUAUUAUCCUCUGGGUGUUGAUUUCUAGGUCACCUCCAAAUCCCUGCUAACAGCAAGACUGCCUUGAACAUCUUUAUACAUGUCCCAUGUAUAUGCUGAGAAGGGAUUCUCUAAGUAUAAACAUAGAAGUGAAACUACUGUAUCAGAGGGUACAUAAAGAAUUGCCUGAUCUCCAGAAUGACUGUGAAUGUUUGUAACUUUUUACUAGUAAUGCAUGAGAGAUCUUGUCUCCCCAUAUCCUUGCUAAUGCUUAUUAUUCAGCUCUCUAAGGGUUACCAGUUCCAUUGAUAUACAGUAGUAUGUUUAAAUAAUUAAGUUUAUCUUAUUGGACUAAGUUAGUCAAGGAAAAAGUAAAUAAA